AACGCACAUUGCGCCCGUCAGUAUUCUGGCGGGCAUGCCUGUCCGAGCGUCAUUACAACCCUCAGGACCCUGCUUCAGGGACCUGGCGUUGGGGAUCAGCCGCCCCGGCCCGUGCCUGGCUGGCCCCGAAAUACAGUGGCGGUCUCGCUGUGACUCCUUUGCGUAGUAAAUCACCUCGCACUGAAGCCUUCGCAGCUUGCCCACGCCGUAAAACCUUUCUUGCUCCCCCGGAGCGUAGAAGCAUAUUCUUGGUUGACCUCGGAUCAGGUAGGGUUACCCGCUGAACUUAA
rnacentral:misc_RNA from 1 species